rnacentral:lncRNA from 1 species
ACCAUUGGUUCAUUGGGUGGUGUUGUAAUUCAAUUACAUUUGACAUUUGCGGCUAGUUUUCUGAUAAGACUUUGAAGAUAAGGAGGUAGGUGGGGAGGAAAUCUCAGAGAUGCAGCUUCGGCCUUUGUAGAGCUUGCUGAUUAUAUCGCCUACACUGUCUCUCUAAGGUCGUCAAAGCGUAAGCAUUCCCAAGCCUGAAUAAAGGAAGAGAGUUGAGGGAAACCGGUGGCCAAUGUAAAAAUAGUCAAACUAUUUUGAAUCAUUUGAAUACUGAAAAAAUGUGCAGAAUGGAUACAGGUGAUUCAUACAAGAACAUAUAGCUAACCCCAAUUAGUUUGGGGACUGGAACCUAGUUGAGUUGAGCUCAUUAGUUCCACCUCAGAUUUUAUUGUUGUUGAUCACAUAUUUUAGGCACUCUUUCCUUGUUUCCUUAUCUCUGUAAAUUAGUUAAUACAAGCAAGAAUCAAGAGGAUAUUCCCUCUUUGAUUCAAAAUUUUGGUUGAGAAGAUAUUGUGCAUAUGGCCAUAAUUUCGAUUGUCGAGUAUGGACUUCCAUUUGUCUAACUUCUGGAAAAUUUAAUGUAAUUUACUAAAUGAUUACUCUGUAUUUUCGUAUUAAUGCAGGAGCGAGGAGUGGAUUCAGCAGAUCUUAUUGCAUUUCUGUUGGAGCUAAGCUUUCAUGUUACUGGCAAGGUAUUACUAGACAGUGCUAGAGGUUCUUGAAUUAAGUUUGUCCUGGAGCUGUAGUAAAUGAUACCAUCUUUAAACUCUAAAUGCUUGAAUUUUAGUUAGUUCUGGAGCGCUUUGGUGUUUGGUUGAAAAGUAGUGAAGUUGUUUUUGCAGAAAGUUUUGUACUUUGUCUUAAAAAAACAAUAUUUGAAAAACUGAAAAAUACUGUGAAAAAGUCUUUCAACCAUUUCCCCAACCAAACGGUUGUAAUCUUCAUUACUUCAUGCUUAAGUUUCGUAUGUUUGUUGAAUUGUCUUCUAAUAUAGGCAUACAACACAAACACAAUAACUGAUCUCCAGCGAAGUAUAAUUAAGGACCUUUCAGAUUUGGGAUUGGUUAAGCUGCAGCAGGUGAAUACUCCUUGUUGCCCCAUCAAUGAGCUCACGAGAGUGAAAAGAUUUUGUCUAUUUUAUUAUGCUCUUAAUUACCCAUUUGAUGCUGUUUAGGGAAGGAAAGAGAGUUGGUUUAUUCCCACCAAACUGGCGACCAACCUGUCAAUUAGCUUAGCGGAUACAACAUCAAGGAAACAGGUAUGCUGCACUUGCAAGUGUUCCCUAGAGUAGUUGGGUCAAGCUACUCAGAAAUCCAGUUUAUUUAUUUGUUUUCUAUCUUUAUUCUUACAGUUUUCUUAUGAAGCAAGUGUGCACAGAAAUUUAGAAUUUUGUGCUUCCUGUCAUCCAGAUUUAAAUUCUCAAAUUAGUUUGGAACGAGUUCUAUGAUACCUUACUGACUGCAAAUGCAUCUUUGCCUUCCCACCACAUUCAUCAGGGUUUUAUCGUUAUUGAAACAAACUUCAGACUGUAUGCAUAUUCAACGUCAAAAUUGCACUGUGAG